rnacentral:lncRNA from 1 species
UUUUUUUUUUUUUUUUUUUUUCCGCCCUAGUUUUGGGAAGUGAUAAGUGAUGAGCAUGGCAUCGACCCAGCCGGAGGCUAUGUCGGUGACUCAGCGCUGCAGCUGGAAAGGAUCAAUGUCUACUAUAACGAAUCGUCUUCCCAGAAAUUCGUGCCAAGAGCAGUCUUGGUGGACUUGGAGCCGGGCACCAUGGAUAGUGUGCGAUCUGGUCCUUUUGGUCAGCUCUUUCGGCCUGAUAAUUUCAUCUUUGGUAUGUGGAUGUCACUUACAAAGGAAGAAAAAAAAAAAAGAAUGGUUAAAAAACAUUUAAACUAUAUUGCCUCCUCCCUGUUUCAAAGUAUUACUGAAAAAACUUUAUUAGCUUAACAAUCCAUUUUCAGAUAUGUAAGUCAGCCAAAAGAUCCCAUUAACUGAAGAAGUCAUUCUUCUGUUAAUUGUUUCUUCAAUUAGCAAACUACUGAAAGUUUCCUAUGAUUAAUCAUCAGAUAGCGUACAUUUACUUUCAGUAUAUUUGAAUGCUAAUGAAAUCCUGAGACCAAUUAUUUACAACAAAAUGCAUGGAAAUUCUGCAGGAAAUGGAAAGCAGAGGGGGAAAAAAAACCACAAACCAACCAAACUAUUCUUGAUUUGAAAUCACAUUAAAUGCAUGAGCAUGAAGUUGUUUAAAGGCUGUGUAAUUUAACUCUUUCAAUGGAGCCUUACAGUAUAGUAUAGUUAACGCUAGAGGAAGGCCAAUGACACAAUGGAGACCACUCAUAGAGCCAGUUACUGGGUUAUUUUCCAACACAACGAGGAACAAUCUGACAGCGUGUGAGGAACUUCAGGUUUUGCAGUGUUCUUGGAGAGGGCUGUUCUGACUUCUACUGUUUUUACUUUGCACUUCUGUAGUACUUCCCAUGUAAGCUUAAAAGUGACUGUUACCAUGAUUGAAUUUCAUAGCAUCCUUAAGAAGUACAGGAGUGCUGUCGGUCCCUUAGCACUAAAGGAGAGGUGGUGUGUGAAAGUCAAGAGAACCACUCAAACAGGAAGCCUGAAUGAGAGCUACCACGAGGUCUCUAGUGGCCUUCUGGUUUCCAUGUCUGCGCUAGCCACGCUUCCUCCUGCCAAAGCAAGCUUAGUUUGGUAUAUUGUGUUAAUAUAAAGAACGAACAGUGCCAGGGAUGGUCAGAGAAAAGAUAAACAUUGUUUGGGUGGUAUGAAAUAAACUGUAGCUCAACCUCCCUCUGUUGAGGUAG